CACUCUGGAGACAGAGCUUUCCCUUCGGGGACAAAGUGACAGGUGGUGCAUGGUUGUCGUCAGCUCGUGUCGUGAGAUGUUGGGUUAAGUCCCGCAACGAGCGCAACCCUUAAUUUUAGUUGCCAGCAUUUAGUUGGGCACUCUAAAGUGACUGCCGGUGCAAGCCGGAGGAAGGUGGGGAUGACGUCAAAUCAUCAUGCCCCUUAUGACCUGGGCUACACACGUGCUACAAUGGAUGGUACAAAGGGUCGCGAAGCCGCGAGGUGGAGCCAAUCCCAUAAAACCAUUCUCAGUUCGGAUUGUAGGCUGCAACUCGCCUACAUGAAGCCGGAAUCGCUAGUAAUCGUGGAUCAGCAUGCCACGGUGAAUACGUUCCCGGGCCUUGUACACACCGCCCGUCACACCACGAGAGUUUGUAACACCCGAAGUCGGUAGGGUAACCUUUAUGGAGCCAGCCGCCGAAGGUGGGACAGAUAAUUGGGGUGAAGUCGUAACAAGGUAGCCGUAUCGGAAGGUGCGGCUGGAUCACCUCCUUUCUAAGGAA
rnacentral:rRNA from 1 species